UAUUAUAUUCAACCAACUUUUUUAGCACUCUGAGUGAAACAUUUAUUCAUUAAAGAAGAUUUAUUAAAGAAUUAUGUGCUUGGCAUUGUGCUAAAGAUACAGCCCCUGAGAAGGCCACGCAAUGAUUUCCAGUAGAGAAGAGAAAUUCCAUCCACUUGAAAGAUUCACUGCAUGCUAAAUUCUUGGCAGCAAGCAACAGAAAGCAAUGAUCACAAAUGUACACAGAGAAAGAAUUCAUCGGUAGAGUAUUGGGGAGCUCAUGGAACUGAAGUCCCAGGCUUAACACGAGACAGGCACCCACAGGGGCCAUAGCCAAGGCCACAUGACAGAGACAAUUAGGGCCCAGCUUCCUCCUCCCACCUUGAGAUGUGCUCUAGUGACAAGGUCUGUUUUGCAUCAUCACCUUUUAAACCUGUGCUGACACAUUCCUUCUGCAGUGGAUCUUCACAUUCUUUAAGGAAAAGUGCUUGCAAGACAAAUAAAUCCUGCUCUUGCCAGGAUCCGUCUCCUGUGUGACUUCUGCAGGUAGCAUACCGACAGAACUCUUCCCCAACAGGCCCGGGAUGGAGAACAAAGGGGAGAAGGGAAGAGGGUAUCCUGUAUUCCCAGACUCUUGCCCCCACUUAGGCGCUCUGAGCCCUCAUGAAGAGAAGUGAGUAGAGGCGAGGUUGGGGGUCACCCUGCUCUGCCUGCCAGGCAACAUCGCCAGCCACGGGGAGCCCUGUCACUCAGAAGGAUCAGUGCCCUGCAUUCCUUCUGUGGUGCUGUUCCUGAGCCCCCCACAUCAGGUGUCACACUCUCCCCUAUCUGAGGGGCACACUCCCUUCUUCCUCUCUGUUGGGUCCUGCUUGCUUGAAAUUUGUAGCUUCCUGAAGACAGACUGGGAGAGUGAGGCUAGUCCCUCUAGGAGCUGCUGGGAUUCGUGUUGUAAUCCCACCCAAGGUUGGGAUCUCCAUCUCUCCGCUGACUCAUUACCCGUCUCUCACCCACGCUUCCCUCCCAGGCCUUCACCACUCUUGUUCAGGGGAUGACCAGCCCCACUCCUCGUGCCCAGUUCAGUGUCCAGUCUGGAGGUGCCCCUUCCCCCUCUGCAACGGAUUAAAAUAAAAUGAUGCACUGCAUUAUCUUCACCAUCCCAUUUGUAGAUUAUGGCUGCACUUUUACAAAUGGAAAGUAUUAUAAUAAUUAACAUGUGCCGAUGCCCUAGAGGUCAAAGGACAUCUGCUUCCUCCCCUAAAUAUCAGAGAGUGGAGAGUGACACUGUGGUGUCAUUCCUGGUGGAGCAGAGCCCAAGCCUGAGCACAUGACCCGGGGCUGGACUGCACUUCCCAGCAGACUUAAUAAAGUUUCAUCAAAUCUCUUCAGUUAAAGGCCCUCUGAUAUUAAGAAUUUGUUCUAGCAAAUCAGGAAACACUUCCUGUACAGCCAAUCAUGCACACAGCCGCUGUCCCCACAUUUCUAUGUAAUCCUAGGAGCAGCAAUCUGGAGAAAAGACGAAGCUACGGAAUCUGUCUUAAAGUGCCUUGCAGAAAUAAGAGAAUGUUUUUAUCUGGACUUUGUGUUUUUUUGGUGAGGCUUCGGGAAAUGUGGGUGGAGAUUCUGGAGAUACUGACCCACCUGUGCCAGUAUGCAUCCCGGAGGAGAGCCCGACGCUGGCGAGGGUGUCCGCAGCACGCAGGCUGUGGUGGGGGUGUUCUCGCCCGGUAGGGGGUGGGGGGAUCUAACAGUUGAAAUGAUGUGUGACACCCAAUAUUUCCUUAUGAUCUGCUUCUCUGGUUCCAGCAACCAAAAAAUCAGUUCAUUCUGAGUCUGAUGGUCUGAAUGCAUUAAACUA